rnacentral:rRNA from 1 species
UACUUCGGUACAUCCAAGACAGGUGGUGCAUGGUUGUCGUCAGCUCGUGUCGUGAGAUGUUGGGUUAAGUCCCGCAACGAGCGCAACCCUUAUCUUCAGUAGCCAGCAGGUAAAGCCGGGCACUCUGGAGAGACUGCCGGGGAUAACCCGGAGGAAGGUGGGGAUGACGUCAAAUCAUCAUGCCCCUUAUGAUUUGGGCUACACACGUGCUACAAUGGCGUAAACAGAGGGAAGCGAGCCCGCGAGGGGGAGCAAAUCCCAAAAAUAACGUCCCAGUUCGGAUUGUAGUCUGCAACCCGACUACAUGAAGCUGGAAUCGCUAGUAAUCGCGGAUCAGAAUGCCGCGGUGAAUACGUUCCCGGGUCUUGUACACACCGCCCGUCACACCAUGGGAGUCGGAAAUGCCCGAAGUCUGUGACCUAACCGCAAGGGAGGAGCAGCCGAAGGCAGGUCGGAUGACUGGGGUGAAGUCGUAACAAGGUAGCCGUAUCGGAAGGUGCGGCUGGAUCACCUC